rnacentral:misc_RNA from 1 species
UUAAGUUCAGCGGGUAUCCCUACCUGAUCCGAGGUCAAAGUAAAAAAAGGCUUGUGGAAGAGGGUCUGCUGAAAUCGCUUGCAAUGUGCUGCGUACGAAGCCAACAUACCGGCUGCCAAUGAAUUUGAGGCGAGUCCACGCGCUGAGGCGGAACAAACACCCAACACAAGCAUAGCUUGAAGGUUUAAAUGACGCUCGAA